UUUUAAAGCAUCCUGGAACAUACACUCAGAACAACUUCCUUCUGGUCCACAUGAUAUGGGAACGGCAAAUGCUACCCGUAGAAAAUGCCAGUUUGACUUCACUUUUGCAAUAGGUUUGGGACAGAGUUAGAGCUACAGAUGUUCCACAAAUGUGCAUAAAUGAAGACAUGAGCCAAAUGACGUAUCAGUAUUCACUAUGCGGCUGAAUGAAUGAAGAUCGUCCCUGCCCCGACAAGAGUUUUCUCGGGACUCAAAUUUAGACAGCAGACAGUAAUGGCAAGGUCUGGGAGAGAAACGUACAAGAUGAGCUGAGACUUCUUGUCCAGCCUUGAAGAAUAAAGUUAUUGAGACUGCUCCGUCCUGUCGGAGGCACCUGACAAAGGCGAAAGAAUUCGAGUGUCUAAAAAUAAAUAAGGAUGGCAAUAAACCCGAUCAGAAUGAAUAUAUAAAGAUAUUUGCACCAGCACCGAACACCAGCAACACGUUAAACCGGGCAACCUGUAAGAUGGGGGUCGUGCAGACUGAGCAUCCUAUUAAGAGCAGCUGACCAUGUUUCAAAACAAGAGGAGUCCUUCUGGGACAAAUUGGCAAGAGGAAGCUCCUAGGAUACUACGAGAGCAUUGUUCUAGUCUCAGAGAAGCCACCGAGGGCACCUAAAUUGCCAAUUUGAUGGGAAAACAUGAUAUAAAUGGCAUUUCAUUGUUCUAUCUUC